CUGGCUCAGGAUGAACGCUAGCGGCAGGCUUAACACAUGCAAGUCGAGGGGCAGCGGGAUGUAGCAAUACAUUGCCGGCGACCGGCGGAUGGGUGCGUAACGCGUAUGCAACCUACCGUUAUACAGGGGGAAUAAACCUUUCGAAAGGGAGACUAACACCCCAUAGUAUUGAUUUAAGGCAUCUUAGAUUAAUUAAAUAUUUAUAGGUAUAAGAUGGGCAUGCGUAUGAUUAGCUAGUUGGUAAGGUAACGGCUUACCAAGGCGACGAUCAUUAGGGGUUCUGAGAGGAAGGUCCCCCACACUGGUACUGAGACACGGACCAGACUCCUACGGGAGGCAGCAGUGAGGAAUAUUGGUCAAUGGGCGCAAGCCUGAACCAGCCAUGCCGCGUGCAGGAAGACGGCCUUAUGGGUUGUAAACUGCUUUUACAUAAGACUAACCGUAUAUUUGCGAAUAUACCUGAAUGUAUUAUGAGAAUAAGGAUCGGCUAACUCCGUGCCAGCCGCCGC
rnacentral:rRNA from 1 species